rnacentral:rRNA from 1 species
CCUACGGGUGGCAGCAGUGGGGGAUAUUGCACAAUGGGGGAAACCCUGAUGCAGCGACGCCGCGUGUGGGAAGACGGUCUUCUGGAUUGUAAACCCCUGUCUCCAGGGACGAAAAUGACGGUACCUGGGGAGGAAGCUCCGGCUAACUACGUGCCAGCAGCCGCGGUAAUACGCAGGGAGCAAGGGUUGUCCGGAAUUACUGGGUGAAAAGGGAGCGUAGGCGGGGAUGCAAGUUGGGUGUCAAAACUACCGGCUCAACCGAUAGUCGCACUCAAAACUGCAGCUCUUGAGUGAAGUAGAGGCAGGCGGAAUUCCUAGUGUAGCGGUGAAAUGCGUAGAUAUUAGGAGGAACACCAGUGGCGAAGGCGGCCUGCUGGGCUUUUACUGACGCUGAGGCGCGAAAGUGUGGGGAGCAAACAGGAUUAGAUACCCGUGUAGUC